AAGGAAAAGGACAAGAUUUUGGAUCAACCAACAAACCAUUCAGGUCUUUUCGAUUCAAUAUCUAUCGAACUUUCCUCUAGAAAUAUUUCCUUCAGGAAGAAAACUUUGAGAUGUUUUCGACAAAAUUUGUCCUCUUAGCGUUCCUUUUCCUAAUCUCAUCUCCUUCAUUAGCUUUUAAAAUAGCUGGGAAUGACGAGUUCCUAGGAAGUGGAGAUGGCAGUCACAAACAUAAAAGUCUUUCGGGUCAAUCCACUUUAGCUUGCUUUUGUGGACUAACAUCGUUCAAGUGUUGCAAGGAACGAGGGGUUUGGAAGAGAUUCGAAGCAUGGAAACAAAACAAUAGGCUGUUAUAAGGAAUAAAAGAAUAGGCGAAUGCAGAAAAAGGAGAUAAAAGAAGGCGAGCCAUUAAGGACGGAGGCGAUGAAAAUGUUUGAUCUUGCGAAUAUCUUCUACAAGACAAUGUUACAAGAAGCUAAGGCGCGUGAACUUAAAGGCUUGCUUUAAGAUGCUAUGGAUGUACUUUACUUUCCGCCGAUGCAAAGAAAUUUUAUCUUUUAGGUGAUACUGCUGGUGUGUUAUUUAAAUGAGGGCUGAAUCAAAACCAUACGUCAAUAAACAGAGAAAUGUAUAAAAA